rnacentral:rRNA from 1 species
AAAUUGAAGAGUUUGAUCAUGGCUCAGAUUGAACGCUGGCGGCAGGCCUAACACAUGCAAGUCGAACGGUAACAGGAAGCAGCUUGCUGUUUCGCUGACGAGUGGCGGACGGGUGAGUAAUGUCUGGGAAACAGCCUGAUGGAGGGGGAUAACUACUGGAAACGGUAGCUAAUACCGCAUAACGUCGCAAGACCAAAGAGGGGGACCUUCGGGCCUCUUGCCAUCGGAUGUGCCCAGAUGGGAUUAGCUAGUAGGUGGGGUAACGGCUCACCUAGGCGACGAUCCCUAGCUGGUCUGAGAGGAUGACCAGCCACACUGGAACUGAGACACGGUCCAGACUCCUACGGGAGGCAGCAGUGGGGAAUAUUGCACAAUGGGCGCAAGCCUGAUGCAGCCAUGCCGCGUGUAUGAAGAAGGCCUUCGGGUUGUAAAGUACUUUCAGCGGGGAGGAAGGGAGUAAAGUUAAUACCUUUACUCA